AUGUAGGCUCCACUCAGCAACGUCAUUUCUUCCUCAGAGCUCAGGGUCCCGGACGGUUUGAGGUACGCGGGGCCAGUAGGGAAUGGCCUGGGGAACUUCACGACCUUACAGGCCACGGCUGAAGGCACAAAGACCAACAUCAUCGUCGCUGUUUUCUUCAUCAGUUUGGUGACCGUCCUGAUGGGCAUCUCCCUGUACUGCACCCUGAAUAGAAAAGGCUGUAAGCAAUACAGAUGGAAGAAACAGAUGGAUGAGGAAUCGCUGAAUUAGAAACCACGGCGCGUGUGCACCCCAAGAUGUGAUGGGGGCUGGUUACUGUCAGGCGCUCCGCGGUGAGAUGCAACAACGCUGUCCCCAAACCCCAAUCCUCAUCGCUCUUGGACAGAUACCUCUCAGCUCACUUCUUUCCAACAGUGUGGUUCACGGGUCUCCAACUCUGGGACUUUGUCAGAAUCUCGUUCGUGUCGUAACGCAGAAUAAAGCCGACCCACUGACAUUUCCAGAUCUCUGCUCGCCAUCAAAACUCUUCGCUUCUCCUUGCAUUCGCAUAGCGCCCCUUUCACCUCACCCUCUGACUCCCUCGUCUCACUGCUGAAAUACGUGGGCCUGAGGGCGAUCUCAUUGAAUGGUGGAGGGGACUUGAUGGGCUGAAUGGCCUGCUUUUAUGGUCUUUCCCACUCCCCUCCACCACCGACGCUCAGUAGCAGCAGUGUGUACCAUCCACAAGACGCACUGCAAUGACUCACCAAAGAUCCUCAGACAGCACCUUCCCAAACCCACGACCACUUCCAUCUUGAAGGGCAGCAGACACAUGGGGACACCACCCCCCUUCAAGUUCCCCUCCGAAACACUCCCCAUCCUGACUUGGAAAUAUAUCGGCCGUUCCUUCAGUGUCGCUGGGCCAGAAUCCUGGAACUCCUUCCCUCCGGGCACUGCGUGGGUGCCCCUACACCACACAGGACUGCAGCGGUUCAAGAAGGCAGCUCACCCCCACCUUCUCAAGGGGCAAUUAGGGACGGGGAAAUAAAUGCUGAGCCCAGCCGGAGCUGGCCUCUCUGGGUCAAUGUCUGACAUACAGCGUGGAGACAACUUGUAACCAUUAAUAUCUCCAAACACAAUCACUUCCCUGUCCCACAAUCUUCCAGCAAGUUGCCCCAAUGUCUUUCUGUCAACUCCACCCCCUACCUGCUGGGUGAGGAGGGGUGUACUCACAGCUCCUGAAUCAGACACGACAAGGUUAGUGUAAAAGGAAUUAUUUUUGGAUACCUUUUCCCAGACCUGAAUGAAUUUAAAUUGCAAAAAUUGAACUGGGUUCUCUUGAAUUUCGCAAAGAGUGAGUUUAUCCAUCACUAAACGCAGGAAGAAAUGUUAACGACGCAGAGAUGCCUGCAGAGUUGAAACGGGAAACGAGUCUGAAAAGACAUAAGUUUUUCCAAACCUUCAGCCGUCUCCGAACUGUUCAUGUUCGAUCCCGCAGGGAUAGAAUUCACGCUGGCAGUUCGGCAGCCUAUAUUGAGAGUUUUGGUUUUGCAGUUCGGUGGAAAUCCUAUUCAUUCUGAUCCUUUUCGACAGUGAACAAAUUCCAGCCUUCAGAGUGAGAGAGAGAGUGUGUCCCCUCUCCUUUGUUUUACCUGCAGUGCAAGGGUGUUUAGAACUGCCUGCUCCCAAGGCACCCUGUCUCAAAUAAUAGGACGUCUGGCCAAUAACUCACACAGACUAAUGCUGCCAGCAAGUCUGAACUCCUUUCUGUUAUAUAUUCCCAAAGGGUCAGAACGGUAGGUGUGCACAAAUUGACUUUCUGACAAAGACCCACGUAGUUUCUCUCUAAAGUUUCUCUGACAUGUUACGGGUGCAAAGUUUCAUUGCGUUCAUCAGUUGUCACUGAAUUUAGAUCUACAGAUUGUUUCCCUUCUGUUUACAGUCUUUUAUUUGAAGAAAAAGAUAACUUUUGAAAUUAAAAGCUUUUUUUCUAAA